GAUUCCCAGUUGGUUCCAGAGACGCUUGGAGAACCGAUCUAACAUCUUGUUAGCUUUGUCUUUUUUCCGAGAAAUUUUUAGUGUUUGGUUUUCGAGACAGCGAGCGUGGGCGGGGAAGGAGCAGAGAAAGAGGGAGCCCCAGAAUCUGAAGCAGGCUCCAGGCUCUGAACUGUCAGCACAGAGCCAGAUCCGUGGCUCGAACUCCCCAACCGUGAGUUCAGGACCUGAGCCCAAACCCCACGCUUAGCGGACUGAGCCACCCAGGACCCCUGCAUUGUGGUUUUCUAACUAUACCCCCCGAGAGGGAAGUUCCACGAGGCCAGAGAUUCUUGUCUAUUUUGUUGAUUGCUCCGUUCAUACUUGGCUACAACAGUGCAUGGCGGCAUAGUAGGCUUUUAGUAUAUGCUUCAUUAAUUAACUUACAGAUCGCGGGGUUAAAAAAAAAAAAGUUUCUGGGGCGCCUGGGUGGCUCAGUCCAGUCAAGCAUCCUGACUCUUGAUUUCGGCUCAGGUCACGAUCUCACAGUUUGUGAGGAUCCACCCACCAGUCUACCCCAUCGGCCUCCAACCUAGCCUGGUUCAGCCCCUUCUCACUUUAGAAGAAUGGGAUCAUUUUACAAACCAUCAGAAAAAGGCCCUGCUGGAGACCCUAACAGGGUAAAAGUAAAUGUUCUGUCUCCCCUACACCUUGAACCAGAGUGAAGCAUGAUGGAAGAGCAGAAGAGGAAGGCAUGGGAGAAAACUAACUAAGGGGGAACAUCCCUAACGUUGAACAUAAGCAUAACUGAACCUAGCGAUCUGAGAUGAAUAGUGUAGCCACACUGGAAGAAAAAAAAAUAACCAACUGAAAUGACUUUUGGGCGCAGUACAUCGACUAUAACAUCUUCAAGUCCAAAGAUAAGAACUGCAAACACAUACUGAACUGUCCCAUAGUAGGAUGCUUGCUUUCAAGCCACCAUACUGUGAGGAAGCCUAAGCAGCUCCAUGGAAAAGCAACACGCAAAUGUUACAGCCAAUAGCCCCGGCUAAAGUCUCGGUUGGUAGCCAGUAUCACCCCCAGACACCUGAGUGAAAGAGCCUUCAGAGGAUUCUAGCCCACAGCCUUCAUAUGUUCCCUGUUGAGGCCCCAGACAUUAUGGAGUAAAGGCAAGCCACCUCUGUUCUGCCUUUUGUGAAUUCUUGACCCAAAGAAUUCAUUAGCAUAAUAAAAUGGCUGUCGUUUUAAGCUACUGAUUUUAGGAUGGUUUGUGCCACAGCAAUAAUAACCAGAACAACACCAAGACACCAAAAGAAAUGAAGACUGUGGUGCCUAUGGCAACGUGCCAUCUAGAUCUCCUUCAUGAGAAAUUGCUUGCUGCAAGGAGCAUAGUUUGUUCAGAGUCCCAGCUGCAAUCUCUCUAGAUCAGAACAAUAUUCAUCCCAAGGUUAUGAUACAUCCUUCCCUCCUUGCCUCAGCUGCACCCAAUGACAGAGCACAGGGGCCGUAGCACUAGCCCAGUCUUGCUGAUGCCGUACUGCCUCUAAUGAGCAACUUUGGCUGAGGACUCCCUUUUGAUCUGGACAAAACUUUCUUAAGACUGCGCUAUAGUCUGAAACUCCUCCUACCAAGUCCCUCUCCUUUCCCAGGUGUAGACCUGCACUAUGGUCUGAAGUCUCUUCAUGUCUAUCCUGCUCCUCCCUCUUUGUUCUUCCCAAUGAAUCUCUUGCAUGUCUAAUCUCAUCUUGACAUUUACUUCUGCAAAAAUACUAACUCAUAAAGCUAUUCUGUGAUAGUUCCCUAUUCUUUUGAUGUAGACACACAGGAAACUGUAUCUUCCUGGAAAAUGCUCAUUUGUACAAAUACCAAAAGUGAAAUAAUGGGCUUUCGGGACCCUUCACUACAACAACAUUUAUGUAUUUAAUGAUGGUUUCCUUUGUAAGAAAAUAACUCCUUUUCUUUUACUUAUCUUCAUUACCUAUUACUCAAUUGACAAAGUCACGUUGAAAUCAGAUUUCUACAAUGGACUAGCCACUUCCAAUCUCAGGUAAGUGCCAUUAAACACAUAAUAAACAUUUCACUCUUCUCUGAACUUCA